UUCACUUGCAGGUUUAAGAAGAUGUCAGCUUCAGAGUAUGCCCUCUGUGCCACUUUGGGCUAAUAGCACUUCUUUGGUAUCAGAACCUGCUUUCCUAGAAGUGAUUGUUAGUGGUUGUCAGUGGCCACCCCUACAUCAUCUCCAGUCAGACCUGGUUCCUGACUUAUGCUGGGGAAGAAUAUGAAGCAGCUGCUGUCUGCUUCAGGUACAGAGUUCUCUGGGCAAAGAGAGUAACCCACAACCAACUCACUAUGAUAGGCCUCUCCUCCUGCUUAGAGAGUCUGGUUCUCAACCUCUCCAAGUUUGCAGAGCCAAAGAUCAGAAGUGAGUCCUCUGACUAGCCUGCCUCCAGGCUGUCCACAGCCCAGGAAAAGCCAACACUCUACUGGCAACCCUUCUUUGUUGUUGGAGGUUGGAGAAGGCCACAGGGACCAGCAGGAGCCAGACCUAGGCUUCAAGGGGUGGGGGUGGGGGGGGUGCUGUGUAGGGUGGAGAAGAGGAAAAUCGAGAGGUGAGAAGUCAGUGGCCUUCAGUGACCCUGAAGCAACUUCAGGUCCUUAGUUCUCCUAGAAUGCAGAGAGAAAUGUCCUAGAAGCCAUGGGGACAAGUGCUCCAGGCUGCAUCUCAAAUGGAACUUCAUGGUCCAUGCAGGGUGUUUGUGAGAAAGUGGCACAGACAGAUACUGGGAGUCAGGCUCCCUCACAAGCAAGGGCUUGGUUGGGAAGGGGCCUAUUGCUGAUAUUGUAGGGGAGCUGAGGGCCUGACAUUUCAGUGGCCUGGCCCAGAGACCCUCUCCCUAGUCCUCUCAUGGAAUGGCUAAUUUCAAGGGAGUCUCAGUCAUGGCUUUGUUUUUGCUGAGAGAUGCAGUUUAAGGAAGUUUUUGUUUGUAGGCCUUUGCUGAUGAGUAUUUUUUAUCAGGGAACAUUCCUUCUCUUCUUGUGAGUCCAUAGUACUGCUCAUUUCCUUCUUUACCCAGGCUGAAUGAUCAUCUUCACUUCAAAUCAAACCAUGCUCAUUGACUUGCCAUUCUUUCAGCUGCACACAUGCCAAGUCUCCUAACCACGUGGGCUUCUAUAAUUCAGUUUUCUAGUUUGGGGUAACAAAGUUUUUAAUGCAUUACUAGGCAGGCAAUCUUUCGACUUAGGUCUCUGGGAGCUCACAUGACUUUCUGUUUUGGACUCUGGCCAUUUCCCUUUCAAUUUUUGAAUCUUUUUCUCAGUUUAGUUGGCUUGGCAAGGUUCCCUCUGUACUUGCCUCACUAAUUCUUGCUCUUGGCUCAUCUUUCCUUAGUGUGCUCCACAUUUCCACCAUCCCUGAGUGAGCUUUGUGGGACUUGGUGUUGGGCAGCCAAUGAGGACUCUUUCUAUGACAGGCUCAAACCUGAUUGAGAUUCUUCCCCAGGACCAACUGGAGACCAUAAAUAUGAAGCAGAAAUGCCCAAUUAAAAGCUUGGCUUCCUUCCUUUGCGUGAGGCUCUCAGCUUGGGUGUGGCCUGCUGGGCCCAAGGAUAGCCUGCUAGGCCAGGGGGAUCUUAGUGAUGUGGUAGAGAGUCACAUAUUCCUUUUCUAUCAUAGAGAUCCUUCAUGUUAGGCACCUGACCAGGGCGUGGUGGGAGUUAGGGUAUCGCUUCCUCCAAGAGUGUGAGGCCCUAGCCCACCAUACCAUCCCUAUGCUGUUUAUUCCAUGGCACUGCCCUCUUUCUGGAUUUUCCUAUAUACCUAGCACCAAUGUUUCAAGUCAUGGUUUUGUUUUGUCUUUGCAUGUAGAAACAUGACUUUUUAUAAACUAAAAAAUAUUUGCUAGCCAAGUGACUGCCUUCAGUGGCUGUUUGCUAAUAUUUGAGCUGAUCCUGCUUUUGACUUGUUCCCAUAAUGGCCCCACUUUGAAGUCAGUUAAGUUCUUUGGCCCUUGACCAAGUCAUGUAAUGGAAAUGUAGUGAGUUCUGGGUUCUUAUGGUAUAGCAUGAAGUCCUAGAGGAGAAUUUGACUUCUUGGGUGUGCUGAGAAACAGGAUAAUAGAGUGGCUUCAGUUGAUGCAAAGAGCAUUUUUGUAAAAAACUGGUGCGGGGGGAAUUUGCAGAGCAUUCCACAGAACAUGGGUAGAUUGGCCCUGCCUGACUUCUAGCAGUAGCUGACUACACACCCUGCCUGCCUCUGGCACCCCCUCCCUGAGUGGCUGUCACCAGACCCUCAUAGGCUUUGCUUCACGGCAGGCCCUGCCAUCAACCUCAACAGACUCUGGCUCCCUGUACCCAUUUCUGGUGACAGGUCUUUGCCUGUCUCCUAGACCCAGGCCCUUUCUUGUUUGUUCCUGGCUCUGCUGUGCUCCCUCUCUCACUCCAUAGGGUCACCUAUGGUCUUCUCUUCUAAAUUCCUGAACUGAGCCUUUGCUUCAUCUGAAUCAGGUAGAGACCACUCUGUCACCUCCUGUGCUGCUUCUUUUCCCGCUCUCUUGCUCACUGCUGCUAAAAUUGCCCUGUUCCUUUAGACCAUUUCCAUGACUUCUGCCCUCUCUUCUUCCUCUCGUUCAGCCUUCUCCUGGACUUCUCUCUCUCCCCAGUCUGAACCCUUGGCCCAUCACACACUGACAUUUUAUCAGCAUGCUGAACUUUCUCUUCCCCUCCAACUUUUGCUGAAAUAUCAACCAUUCACCAUUUUCUGCAUCAUUCUAUUUUCUGCUCCCUCUUCCUGGACUGCUGAACAUGAUGAAUUCGUAGUUGACAGCCUCAGUUGUGCUCUCAGUAUUGACUGGAAAUUCUUUAGCUUGUCAUUACACUUCUUUUCCAUCUAUGCCCUUCAUCUGUGCUCUCAGAAAAUGAUUGACCUCAUUGUCCACUUCACGGAAGACAGCCCCUAAAGCAAGAACUUCCUUGCCUGCUGCUCUUCUCCCCCCUCCCCUUUAUGUGUCUGUAUCUCCUUCCUUCCUUGCUCCUGUUUAGUUCUCUAUUUCUUGAAUCCUGUUAUAUGUUCUCCAAGACUUUGCUCCCUCACUUAUCCCACUGCUCCCACUUCCUGGGUCUUCAGCCUCCCUCACCACUGGUUACCUCCAUGUAGCCCACACACAAGCAACGUUCUCCCCAAGAUUAAAAUAAAGUUUCUUAAAGUCUGUGGCCCCUAUGCUCUUUCCUUGUCAGCCAAGUUUCUUUAAAAAAGAAUCUUUUUCAUUGAUUCUCUGUUGCUCUUCAUCCCUCUAUAGUUUUUCAUAAAAGAUACCAGCAACUACGCAGUUGCCAAAUCAAAUGAAUACCUUUUAGUCUUCAACUGUCUUGAACUGUCCACAGCAUUUCACACUGUGCACCACUUCCUUGGUGAAACACCCUGUUCACUGGCUUUUACAACAUCACAGCCCUCUAGAUUCCUCUUACUCUCAGCCUUCCUUGAAACUUAGCCACAGACACAUCUCCCUGUGUAUCUGUGGUUCCUUCUCUUCAGGAGUUGGAUAUGCAGAAAGAAUCACAGCUGGUCUGGCUCCCUGCUCUCUGUGUCUAUCUUCUUUUGAGUCCCUUCUUUCUCCUGGACUCAGUUCUCCUCAUGCCAGGCAUGUUAAUGAGCUCCUGCUGGGAGGACAGCAUCUGUGAUUCCUUCCUUCUCCCAGUAUAGCACAGAGAGAUUUUAGCCAUGUUUGCUAAGAGAUCCCAUCUAAAUCAGCUGAAGAGUGUGGAUUGGGUCUUAUAGCAUCAAGACACAGAUUGGAUAAACUGGAUUACAAGUCUGGUGGGAAGCUCAUCACCAUGGUUCCGUACCAGUUGGAGCCUGUCACAGUUGGUAAGGAGCCUGGGAUGGUGGUAAAACAUGUUUCCAUCCAUGGUUCAGUGUGGCUAACAGGAGGAGAAUCCUGGCAAGAGUUGGUGUCUGCACUGAUAACAUUCCAUUGGGGGGAGAUUGGGAAGUGCUGUGGUUCAUCACUUUUGGGCUCAGCUGGGGUCAGCAUGACUCCCUUUAGCUGGGUCUUUUCCACCUGUGCUAAUCACCACCACCUGCUUGCUCCAGUUGUUCUUAGAACUGGGGGCAGAUGUUGGUUGCUUUCUUAGAGGGAAGGAUGUAUAGUAGAAAAGACAUUUGAUUUGAUAGUCUGAAUACCCAAAUUUUGGCUCUGCCAGUUAUGAGCUAUGUGACCUCAUCUAUAAAGCUGGUGUGGAGGGUGGCUGAGAACAGUCAUCUCUCAGAGGCUCUCCAGCUCUAAAGAUGAUAAUUGUGAUUCUAACUCUAAAGCCCAGGCCACACAAGGAACUCUGAGAGUGGGACACUGCUGGGGGAGUUCUGACCAGGUAAAAGGGACUCACAGGCCAAAUCGAGCUGCUUUGAGGAAUGCCCUUAUCAGCUGGUGCUGCUGCUUGAGCCAUGUGCUCAUUCCUCAAGCUGCACCCUUUUGUGGAUGUCUAGGAUGAGUUCCUCCUUUUUCUAGAAGUAGCCAUUGGAUCCAAAGUGAUUAGGGACAUGAGGUAGGGAUACUGUAAGGGGAAGUUUCACUGAUUUUAAAAGAACCUACACAUUCAUGAACAAAUAAAUAGCACUUUUCUUUACCAACAA